UGUCGGAGUAUGUGUUGAUAUGAAGUCCCCAUAAAAUCUAAGCAGUGUGGAAUAAUAUUUCAAUUCAUGGAGAGCAGCAACCUUGCCCACUCUCCCAGAUCUACUGAAGACGUUGAAUGAGUGACUUCCUUCUGGUCAGUGCACACAGGCCACUUUCUCCAUCCCUCUGGAUCCUGGUGGCUGCUGUCAUCUCUCCACACCAGGUGACCAUUGAUGGCGGAGGACGAAUUAAAGCAUGACCUUGGAUAUCUUAAGGGUAAGGUUUCUCUUCUUAUCACUUGCUAGUAGAUUGUAAAUAAUAGAAAACUGGUAUUUGAAAAAUGUUUCAGAAAAUAUGGGCCUCCUUUCCUAAUUUCUAGAGCAAAAAGUCUUAAUCGAUUUGUACAGUGGUGAUACAGUGUG